rnacentral:tRNA from 1 species
GCCUGCUUAGUAUAGUGGUUAGUACUCCACGUUGUGGCCGUGGCGACGCUGGUUCGUUUCCAGCAGCAGGCA